AUUGAACGCUGGCGGCAUGCUUUACACAUGCAAGUCGAACGGUAACAGGCCUUCGGGCGCUGACGAGUGGCGAACGGGUGAGUAAUGCAUCGGAACGUGCCCAGAGGUUGGGGAUAACGCAGCGAAAGCUGUGCUAAUACCGCAUAUUAUCUGAGGAUGAAAGCGGGGGACUAAGCAGCAAUGUUUGGCCUCGCGCCUUUGGAGCGGCCGAUGUCAGAUUAGGUAGUUGGUGGGGUAAAGGCCUACCAAGCCGACGAUCUGUAGCUGGUCUGAGAGGACGACCAGCCACACUGGGACUGAGACACGGCCCAGACUCCUACGGGAGGCAGCAGUGGGGAAUCUUAGACAAUGGGCGCAAGCCCGAUCUAGCCAUGCCGCGUGAGCGAUGAAGGCCUUAGGGUUGUAAAGCUCUUUCAGUGGGGGAAGAUAAUGACUGUACCGUAAGAAUAAGCACCGGCUAAACUACGUGCCAGCAGCCG
rnacentral:rRNA from 1 species